rnacentral:misc_RNA from 1 species
GAAAUGCGAUAAGUAAUGUGAAUUGCAGAAUUCCGUGAAUCAUCGAAUCUUUGAACGCACAUUGCGCCCUCUGGUAUUCCGGGGGGCAUGCCUGUCCGAGCGUCAUUGCGAACCCCUCAAGCACGGCUUGUGUGAUGGGCCCUCCCGCGUCUUGGUCGUCAAGACGGGCCCGAAAUGCAGUGGCGGCUUCGCGGUUAUCCGAUCAGCCAGAGCGUAUGGGGACUUUCUCUAUGUCACACGCCCGCGGCGCGGACCGACGCCUGUCGACCUUCAUUCAUCGUUUUCUCGGUUGACCUCGGAUCAGGUAGGGAUACCCGCUGAACUUAAGC